GAUGAAGAACGCAGCGAAAUGUGAUACUUGGUGUGAAUUGCAGAUUCCCGUGAACCAUCGAGUCUUUGAACGCAAGUUGCGCCCGAAGCCAUUAGGCCGAGGGCACGCCUGCCUGGGCGUCACACGUCGUUGCCCCCCCAUCUACUCCUUCGGGAUUGCGGGGGGCGGAUGAUGGCCUCCCGUGCGCCUAGCCGCGCGGUUGGCAUAAAUACCAAGUCCUCGGCGACGCACGCCACGACAAUCGGUGGUUGCGAAACCUCGGUUGCCCGUCGUGUGCGUUCGUCGCGCAUCGAGGGCUCGAAAAAAUGCUCGGCUCCGGCUCGGCUUUCAACGCGACCCCAGGUCAGGCGGGGUUACCCGCUGAAUUUAAGCAUAUCAAUAAGCGGAGGA
rnacentral:misc_RNA from 1 species